rnacentral:tRNA from 1 species
GUGGUUGUCGUAUAGUGGGUAAGUACAUCUGCUUGACGUGCAGAAAGCCGUUGGUUCGAAUCCAUCCAGCCACACCA